CCCAUUUUAAGUAAAAAGUAGUACUAACAGCUAAGCCUUCUUUGCUCAAGUUUAUCCAACUCAUGUUACAAGUGAAAAAUGUGUGCCUAUUUCCCAUGGAAAUAAAUAUUCUCAAUGGUAAGGUGGUGGCAAAUUAGGCCAAUGUCAUGUCACACUCCCUCUUUUUUCACAUGAUGAUUCUGCCACCAUGUUCUUCUUAAUUUGGCUCUCCAUUUGUUGAUCUUCAUUCGUCUUCUAACAUUUUUUUGGUUCCUCGUCUGGUAUUCGUUAUCUGAAGUGCCCCCGACUAAUCCUGAUUUAUGUCAGAAAGACCCACUUUGAAGGGUGAAUUGUUCCUUACCGAAAAUAAAAUUCAUACCCAGAACUUAAACGCGAACCUUUGGUUAAGGAUCGAGAGGUACUUAAUUACCACUCUACUACAACUUUUGGUGAUCACCCUCUAACAUCCACACCCUCCCAUGCCAGGACCAACACCUUAAUUCUCAUAUUAGAUGGCCCCUUCUCUUCUGUCAAAGCACUAUUGCACCAAUAAGGUCAAUCAAUUUUUGCCUAACAUUUGAAGCAAAUGGCAUUGAAAUAACAUGCAUAACCCACUUGAAAACAUGCACAAUAUUAUGGUUCAAGAAAAAAUAAGGAAAACAGAAUAAUUAUCUAUUUUUCUUACUUCGUUCAUCCACAAACAGGAGCACAUCUCUUUUCUUGUGUUAUUUGAUACGAUUUAGAUUUCGGUUAAGUGGCUAUCUUUUUUUGUUUUUGUUUGAUAAUUUACUCCAGAACAAAUGAAAAGUCUGAUUCCUUUCAUAUCUUUCAUAGAGAAGGCAAGUGAUAGUGUUGGCAGAGUUUUCUUAUACGCUCUUCUUCUCCCAACUGAAACAAUAUCGGUUCCAUCUCCAAACACUGUUCUACCUUUCUCACGUGGACUACUUAUAAUUAAUUAAGGAACAUUUUGAUAAUUAAAUCACAUACACGACGCAUUUCACAUAAUAACUUCAAAACUCCCCUUCCCAUAUGGACAAGCGCAUUCAAAGACGAAUGUAGAUGGUAAUAUUUACAUGGUUACCUUGAUCCCUGUAUGUUUGCGAGAUUAGAUGCUCUUUAAGUGUAAGAAUUUGUUUGUUAAUGGUAAUAUUUACAUGAUUACCAAAAAAAAAAAGACGAAUUUAGAAUUUAACCUACGGGGAUUCAACUUUUAAAAUAUUUAGCAUGAACUUAUUAUUUUUAAAAAUUAUUGGUUCAGUUGCAGUAUUUUAGUGAUUUUUCGCAUUACAAUCUACAUUUAUGUUCCAUUUGAAAAUACUGAACUUGUAUGAACCCACAACAUGUCGAUAAAGUAGAAUCCCAUUACAUUUAACUCUUUCCACAUGUGGAGUCAAUAUAGUUUAAGAAAUCAAUCAUACACGUUGAAGGCAUAAUUAAUUAAUAAAAAGUGUGUUCUCUAACCGCUUAAACUUUUAGAUAAGAUAGUCACACAUUUUAACAUGGUAUCAAAGCAGACACAGGUUCUGGGGUCGAGUCUCACCACCACCCAACAUAAAAAAAAUAAAAAAAAUUACGUGUUUGGCUCAUCAAAAUAAAUCAAGCCCGCACAUGAGGAGACAUGUUGAAGACAUAAUUAAGUAAAUAAAAGUAUAUUUUCUUUAAUAACUUAAGCUUUUAGAUGAGAUUAUCACACACUUUAAUAAUACACUGCAUAUGCAAUAGCGGUUAUUCAACCGAGCUGACCGGUGUGAUUGAAGCUCCAUGCUUUCAAUAUUCCUAUUAUUUCCUAAUCAAAUCAGAUAGGAAAUUCCUCCUAACUCAUUUUCAUUUUUAAGGCAGCGCAAUGUUAUCUUAUUGCAACAUGAGAAAUAAAGAAUGAGUCUAAAAGUGAAUCAUGGUUACAUUACAUCGACGUACCUUCGAGUCUCCAAAAACAUUUUAGUCAAGUGCACAUGCAUUUCUAUGGAUGCAAAACGGAAGGAUAAAGUACACACAUUUUUUUAGACUAAUGUCAAAUCGAUUAGAAGUAGAUCUAAAUUCUACAAAGUGCUAAGGAUAUUUUUCUCUUUUUAUGUGAAUUAUUUAAGAACUUAAAAUAAUAAUAAUAAUAAUAAAACCAAGCUAUAAAAUGAGUGCCAGGUGGAAGGUAAUGAUACCACUGCCUUUGGCGACUUUACUUAACUUGCACUCGAACUACAACUUUUUUUUUUUUUCUUUCUAAUAGAAAGGUUCUAGGUGGACUAUUUGUAAGCAAUAGAGAAAAAUAGAAGAAAUAUUUCGAAUGGCCUUAUAGCCUGUUUGGCCAAGCUUUUUUUCUUGGCUAAAAGUGAUUUUUUUGUCAAAAGUUUAUUUUUUUUUCAAAGUUAAGGUGUUUGGCCAAGCUUUUUGAAGGAAAAAAAAGUGUUUUUGAAUAGAAGCAGAGAAGCAGAAAAAAGUAGCUUAUCCCCGGAAGAACUUUUUUGAAAAGCAAUUUUAAAAAAAAUACACUUAGAAACACUUUUUAAAAGUUUGGCCAUGCACUAAUUGCUUGGCCAAAUACCCCUUUGCCACCUUUUGGAUUUCGUAAUCUUAAAAGAUUCCACAUUCUUGGAAAUUUUUUGGGCGUAAAGAUCCAGUUGUCCCUAUGUUAAACUCUUAUAUAUUAUUGAAAGGCGAAAUGGCUUCCUGGCCACUUAAACUUGUCGGGUUUUUUAAAGCUGAUACACAAAUUUUGGGUUUUCCCAUUUGAACACUCGAACUCAUGAUUCCCUUAACUAAUAAACACAUCUGACCCUUGAGCCUAUGCGCGUGUAUUACACAUACACAGACGUGUCCAUCCAGUCAGCAAUUGACCAAUCCAAAAAUUGUCACCUAUAUUUAUAUUUUAAAAAUAAAAAUAAAUACAAUAAAAAAGAAAACACUUAAACCCUUCCAGCUUCCUCUUCCCCCUCCCCGUUCUUUCCCAUCUCGCCCCCUCCCCACACCUGCAACUCUUUCUUCUACUUCCAUAUCAAUACUCCCUUCCUAGGUUCUUCUUCGUCUUCUCCUCUCUAGGUUCUUCUUCGUCUUCUCCUCUCUCUAUUUUUUCUAGCUAGGUAGAUUGCCGGAGAAAUUUUCCGAUCAACACUGUCGCAGAAUUUGUUUUCUUUAAAGUUGUGACAAUUAAUUUGUUGUAAUGGCCAAUUGGCGUGACCUCCUCAGCAGCAGGAGUCGAUUGGCAUUGCUCUUGGGCGAUUUGGACCACUGGAAUGCCAUCUCCGACCAACUGGAGCCGCCGGAGAGUUGCAGCGAAAUGAACAAGGCGAAUGCCAUCUCCGACCCAAAAUUGAAGAAUGCCAUCUCCGACCCAGAAUUGAAUAAGGCGAAAUGAUUAUUUUGAGUUACUGGUACUUAAUUAGCAACAACUCACGAAAAAACAAGGCGAAAUGAUUAUUUUGAGUUAGCAGUGAGCCCGCAAAGACCGCUGAGAAAUUGCUAUUGGCGGCUACACACAGUCGACAUCUUAUUGAACAGUUCAAAACUGUGGUGGAUGUGAUGGUUGGUACAAUUAAAGGUUUGCAGGUUAAAUUGGAAGAAAACAAUAAUACUUGUGUGAAAGCCCUGGAAGAAAAGGAGAUUCACCAAGAGAGGAUCUCCCAACUGGAGACUGAUCUAGAAGCGUCAAAUGAUCUUUGCAAUGGGAUGAAGCUUAAGUUAGAGGAUUAUCAGGCAAAAGAGGAUAAUAUCAGGGAGAAAGAAGCUGAAGUUUUGUCUCUUCUUCUAAAAAUGGAGGAAUGGGGUAUUUUAGAAGGAAUGAAUAAGAACACAAUUAAACAUAACCCAUUUUGUACUGUUGGGCGUUGGGAAGGGGGUUUUCACGCUCCAGUGCGUCGUGUUCCUCACGCGGGCUACUGAUUAAGACCGACUAACGCCACAUAGGCAUGAUCAAUGGUCAAAUGUGUUUAUUAGUUACGGAAAAAACGAGUUCGAGUGUUCAAAUGGGAAAAUCCAAAGUUUGUGUAUCGGCUUUAAAAAACCCGACAAGUUUAAGUGGCCAGGAAGCCAUUUCGCCUUAUUGAAAAGCAACUUGAUUCUACACCAAAAAUACUGAUUUUUAGGCCUCUGUUUAUGUAAUAUCAAGGAUAAAAUGUGAUUGGAAUAUCAAGUGGCAAAUUUCAGGAUAAUAUCAAGUGGCAAAUUUUUUAAAGCUUUGACGAUAACAAUAUCCUUUUCAAUUUUCAUGAUGUGAAGAGACGAAAUAAUGGGGGCAAUCUUAGUAAUGGGAGAUUCUUUCCACUAACAGAUUCUCCUAUUUUAAAGAUGUUUGCUGUAAAUAACAAUUAUACUUGCGGUUUGAAACGCUAAUGAGAGAAAGUUUUGACUAAUUAGCCUGGAAAUUAGUGCUAUAUCUAGUAAGAAAAAUCAUGCUCAAUGGGCCAUAGGGGAGGAUUAUUACACAAAGAUCCACAAAAUCUCUUUUGGCUGUUAAUUUUGACUUUAAUUAUGUACAGUUUAUUCACAAACUAUAGGUUAUAAUUUGUUUAUUAUGAUUAGAUAACAUAAUCAAGUUCUGUUUUCGGUUGUCAAAAAGGGCGGAAAAAAGAAGACAACCAAAGAAUCUGUGGGGCAAGGAACAAAGGCAUUGGUCAAAUGUCAAAACGUUUGCAUAAGUUGUAGAGUUAGUUGCUUAAACUUUCAGACAAAAGCAACAUAAGACCCAUUUGGUGGUUAGUGCAGAACAUCAAUCCUCCUAUCAAAACGUUAUGGUUUUUUCAACUUCUCAGACAAAUGAAAUUGAUGGAAAUCCUCCUAUCAAAACAUUGUUGGUUGUUUGACUUCUUAUGAUACAAUGCUUGAAACUUUGGGACCAAAAUGUGCAGGCAUUUAGCAGCAUAAAAGCAGGAGAAGUCACCGUAUAAGACAGUACUGGUUUCUCUCAACAACCAUACCGUACUAGCUGUUGGAAAUGAUAUUUUGGUGCUAAAUGAAUAUUCUCUUCUUAUCUUUAACGAAAUGGGGAGAGAGAGAAAUAAAUGGUGCUUGAAAUGCAAUUUGUUGUCGCUAUUAAGAAGAAGGUGCAAUGAUUAUUGAUAAAUAGUCAUAUGCCAGAGGAGGUGCAACCAAACUGCACAUGCAUGGUUUCAUCACAAUCUGACAACAUUACUUUCAAUUCAAAUGACUUAAUUACCUUUAAUCAAUAUUACCACACAGACGUGGUGAUAAUAAAAGGAGGUUUCUCCUAGAAUACCUUUUUUCCUGAAAAAGAAUUUCUCCUACAAUACCUUAGUGAUCUGAGGACAAUAACACUGUAAAGAAAACUUUAGGUCGCUGGUGAAAGAGCGUCUAUCAAAUCCAGAGAGAGAGAUUUAUGGACAAUACCUUUUUCCUAAUGCUAUUUUGUGAAAACCAGAUGGCGAGCUUUGAUCUGGAAGAUAGAAAACAUGCAAAUUGUUCUUUUUCCUCAAUUCAAAUGCAUGUUCCUUAGUAACUGCUGAGGUUUGAACAUUGAGCAUAAGGUGAAAUGUCCCUCGUGUAACCUGUUGUACAGGUGCAAAAUUUAGUGAAUUGAAGACAUAAGACAGGUACAAAAACAAAAGCAAGAAUGCACAGUAAACCAUGGAGCUCCACGUCCUCUGGUGCACAAAAGCAUGUACCCCCUACUAAAGACACAAUGAAGUAGAGGAAAACAACCUUACACAACUAGAGUCCAAAAAUAACUAACUAAGCAAAGGGGAGGCAGGUUGUUACACUUCAUUAUACGCAGGAGCUAUGGAAACCAAAGUGGGCGGGGAAACUAAGGCAUGUUCAAAUUAGGAUAAGAAAUUGAAAGUAGACAGUUGUAUUAACUUUUCAGGACAAGAGGUGUGCUACUAUUUAAAAUGGUGUUUGGCCUUGAAAUCUUUUGGAUACACUAGAAUACACUUUGAUGUAAACAUCAUUGGAAGGUUUUUGCUUAGCCUAAAAACACCAACUAUCAUGUGAGAAGAGCUCAAUCCUGGGUCCACCACUACUAAAUAGCUUUAGAUUCCAUCAUUAGCAUGAGAAAAGGCAUUACCUAAUUUUAAUUAUCAAAGGAACAAUAAAUGUUAGGCCACUUCGUACUCCAUUGUACUAAAGGUUGCAAUUCACAAUAAUUGUGGAAAGAAAAUCAGAAUACUAGGAGUAUAUCACAUUAACUUCAGAUUUGCUUUUCAUAAGACAUACUAUACAAAUAGAAAAAUAAUCAUAUUUAUGCUUUACAUAUGGAGUAUCCCUAUCAUUUGACUCGGAUUGAGUCCUAAGUGGUUUAGAGACGCUAAUUUGAAUGUCUCUUUAGUGGCUUCCGCCCAAAAGUAAUAAUGAAAAUGCACAACAUGAAUGCAUAUGAUGAAGGCCCUAUAGUUUAAGCCCCUUGACCAGUUCAACAUACAAUGCGAAAGUCAAAAUACCUGAAAUACAAAGGUGAAAGAAUAACAAGAAAGAACCUGUAAUUAACAAAAGAUACUUGAGCCAUAUUUAUAGUUCAAUGUCAAAACAUCUUCAGGCCAGAAUAUAUCAGUAAUAUAACAUUUAAGCAUAGUUCUUUAAGAGGGGAAGUGGAUAUUACAUUUGUUGUGAAAUGGAUAUGUUCUUAUAUUUUUGGAAAGAGGAUAUCUGUAGUCACGAUAGUUGGCACAGGGGAACACUCCUUAUAUCUCAAUGUAAAUGACAUUCACAGUGCUUCUUACAUAGUUACUCCAGUUGUAAGCUUUCAACAACCAGUAACUCACAAAUACCUCCAGCCCCUAUAAAUAUCCUUGCUUCUGGAAACUCAAGUUAGUGUCUCUCAGUAUCUCCUUCCUUCUCUCUCUCUCUAUCUAUCUAUCUAUUGCUCCCUCUCUCUAUAUAUAGUGCAUAAGUACACGUGAGUGGUUGUAUUUGUGCAUGGAUACAGAACUGCAUGCAGAAAGAGGAUUUAUACACAGUUAAGCUCUCUCUAUAACACUCCAAAACAAGAAAACAAGAGGAAAGAGGCAGAAGCAAAAUAAAGAAGAUGGAAGCAGAACAGACCGAAAAGCACCCGUCAUCACCAGAGGUACAAACUACAGAAUAUUUUAGAACCUUUGAAUAGACAAAGAAAAAUGCGUAUGAAUCACCAUAACAAUUUUUUUUCCCCACAAUUUAUAGGUCAUGGAGGAAUUGAAGAAAAUAAUGGAUAGAGGCUUUCCUAUACUUGCUAUGGGCUUGGCGACUUAUUUGAAAAACAUGAUUUUAGUUGUGUGCAUGGGAAGGCUCGGAAGCUUAGAGCUGGCAGGUGGUGCACUGGCCAUUGGCUUCACCAAUAUUACUGGUUACUCCGUAUUGUCUGGCCUAGCCUUGGGGAUGGAACCACUUUGUAGCCAGGCUUUUGGAUCAAGAAACUUAACCAUAGUGUCUCUUGCCCUCCAAAGGACAAUCUUUAUGUUAUUCACUGCAUCUAUACCUAUUGCCUUCUUAUGGUUUAAUUUUGAGCCUCUCAUGCUAAAGCUACGCCAAGACACACAAAUAAUACACGUAGCAAGUGUAUUUUGCAGAUUUGCUGUCCCAGAUCUUAUUGCUAACAGCCUUCUUCACCCUUUACGCAUCUACUUACGGUGUAAAGGGACAACAUGGCCUCUGUUGUGGUGUACUUCACUUGGAACACUAUUGCAUUUCCCUAUCACAGUUUACCUGACCUUUACUAGAGGUCUUGGGAUCCAAGGAAUUGCAAUUUCAACCUUUGCCUCCAACUUUAUCACCUUAUUCUUCAUUUUAGGCUACAUAUCCUUUACUUGUCUUAAUCAAAAGACGAUAUUCUUUACUUACGACCAAAACAGAUCUCUGUCCAAACCCCUAGCAGAAAAUCUAAAACCUCUUCCUUCCAUUUCUGUGGGAGAGCAAUGGAUAAUGCUUCUUCAACUUGCUAUACCUAGUUGUUUAGCAGUUUGCUUAGAGUGGUGGUGGUAUGAGUUCAUGACAGUUCUAGCCGGAUACCUUGACAGACCUGAAGUUCCACUUGCCGCAUCUGCUAUUGUAAUACAAACCACAUCUCUCAUGUACACAUUGCCUUCAGCCCUAAGUGCUUCAGUCUCAAGCAGGGUAGGAAACGAACUUGGAGCAGGACGGCCAGCUAAGGCCCGCUUGGCAACAGGGAUAGCCAUAGGACUAGCUUUUUUGACUUCAACAUUUGGAUUCUUACUGACCACCUUAGGGCGAGAAGCAUGGGGAAAAGUUUUUACAAAAGAUAGAGAAGUGCUGGAGCUAACAGGGACCGUUCUACCCAUUAUUGGACUUUGUGAACUAGCUAAUUGUCCACAAACUACAUGUUGCGGGGUGCUUCGGGGAAGUGCUAGGCCUGGUGUUGGUGCAGGUAUUAACUUUUACUCGUUCUAUCUGAUGGGAACACCUGUGGCCAUUAUUUUGGCCUUUGUUUGGAAGCUAGGAUUUUUGGGUCUUUGUUAUGGGCUUCUAGCGGCUCAAGUGGCAUGUGUAAUCUCAAUGUUAAUAGUUACUUAUGGUACUGACUGGGAAGGAGCAUCCUUGAAGGCAAAAGAACUAGUGGGAACAAGUAAUGAACUUCCAUACGAAGAUCAACUGGUAAAAUUUGAGGAGGGCAAUGGAUUUCUCAAAGGAUUUAGCUUUUGAAGAGGGAAGAUGCCUAAGGACGCAAUGAAUGCAAAGGAAAAGGAACGAGAUGGCACAGAAAGGAAGAAAACAAAAAUGUUACAUUCUCUCAGUAUUUCGAGUCAUAGAAUAUGCAACAUGUGUCAAUUGUUCUUCCUGGUGUCUAUUGGACUGUGUCGUUAAAGAAACUAUCUUCAUUAGUCCAACAAUGUUGUUGAUGGAUUAUAGAAGUACAGGCCAGCAGAAGUAUGUUAUAUAGCUUAAAUGUGUAAAUAUAAGAGGCUUUUGGUUUGCAUUUUCUAGAUAUCAAUAUACUUUAUCUUAGUAGCUAUGACAUGAACAUGUGCAUGAGCUUCAAGUUGCUUUUUUAUAGUACUCAGCAUGUAAUAGUUCUUUGAUUAACCACCAGAACAUGCUUCACAUUUAGUUCACCUCUCUCCCUUCCCCUCUUAAAUGGUGAAGAUAGAACAGGAGGCAUUGUAUCUCUCCAUUUGUGGGGCAUAAGCCCUACGAGAAGAAACAUAACCCCUAUGAAGUUCAAUUUUGGAUAGUAAUCUAUUAUUUGACUAUUUUAAAGAUACUUUAGGAAAAAUAUUCAUUGGUAGGGCAAUAUUCUUGUAAAUUGAAAUUUUUUGAAAAAACUAUUCUUUUCUUGGAGAAAUCAAUUACGGCAAUGGUAAAUUUUCAACCUUAAGAAAUAAAGGUUUACUACAGUACAUAUUUAGAUCAUAACAUUGAUUUUGUCAUUUUAACCUUUAUUCUGUAUCUAACUCUCAAUUGAACAUUUGGUGUAACUUGCAAAUCUCUAUAAUAAGAAAUUAACUCAAGUUAACCUUUAUUUUCCUUAGGUAAUAAAAUUGACAUACAAAAGCAGCACUUAAUUGAGGGAUACAAACAUGCAGGGAACGGAAUGGGCGACCAGCGGGAGUAAAGCUUUGGGAAACCAUUGCCCAAUGAGAGGCCACUGCCUUUUAACAUGCUGGUAAAUAUAUGAUAUUUUAUAAGCAUGACUAGGCAUGAGAAAUCAAAAUUUAAAGAGACAAAGAGGAAGAAAUGAAAAAAAGACACUAGGAAUUAUACAAGAGAAAUAAACUAAAUUUCAAAGACUCUCAUUCACUCCUUCCACAAUGUUCCCAUACAAACACCAAGAUCGUGCUCUGUCGCACCCUAUACACCACCACAUGGCUUCUGAGAUUCGGUGUCUCGACACAUUGGGAGGCAAACUAUGCACAGUGGGAAUGUAACUGACUUAGGAGCAAGGCAUAACAAUUGUUGUGUUAACUAGCAAGUCACCACACCAACUGUAGUCUCUAACUCGAGGCAUUACAAGGAUACCCUAGAGUUAUGCAUUGUAAGGGACAAAAUAUCAUGUAUACAAUGGGAGCUACGUCUCGAAUCCUAUGACUCCCAUCUAAGUUCAUGCAAUAUUCGGUGGGUUUUCACCCUUUAUCAUACCAAACUGGAGGGGAACAUUACUAAUAGCGAAGCAUACACACCGUUGGGGAUAAAUCCUAAAAGGCACUGCUAAUGACCCAAGUUUGCAUUGAACCGAUAUAAAUUCAAUCUUAUCUGUCAAUAGCCAACGAAUAAGUUUGUCACCCUAGCAAGAACCAACAAGAACCAUCUGCACUAUAAUACAAUAUUAAACAAGAGAGUUCAACCUCAACUUUUCCCUUCACUCCUGAGAAAAAAGACAAUAGUUCCUACUCAUCAUGGCCAGAAUUCCUCACCUUUUCCUAGUAUUGUCACCUAUUCUCUACUUGUUGACAUAUUGAUAAAGGCUUAUCAUUCUUAAUAAUACUUCCACAUAAAGCAAUAGUGAUAAAAAAAAAUUGUGUCAUUUAAUUUCAGUUGACGCUCUUCUUCUGACGAGAUUUUUAUAUGGAAUGAUACUGCAUCCACUAUUUAUUUGUAUAGCUCGGGUCGAAUGUAGUGGAUGUGCCCGUACCGCUGCUUUCUAUACAAAUCUAUCCUUGCUCCCUCUGCUCUCCCCUCCCUUUCCGUAGAGAUGAUCAAUCAAAAGUCCUUCCCUUUCUGUUUUGGAUCCCUCUCCCUCAGCUCUUUCCCCUUUUUCUUUUCUCUCUGUAGAGUUAAGACAACUCACGGUACAUUAUCAACUUCUCAAAAGCAAACAACCUUAAGUGCCUCAAUAUUUUCAAAAGAAAAGACCUUUCUCGACAAUCUUAACAACCAGAGAUAUUUCGAUAAUUCUUUCAAAUUUUAAUUCCUCUCCCUUCAUUCACUCGUAAAUUAUUGGUGUAAUACUCACCAUUCAGAUAGUGACUGGCGCUUUUUUGCUAUGCAUUAUGCACUUGAUGUUCAUAUAACUUUCGGCAUAGAACAUGUAACCAGAGAUUCAUAAAAGUCUCAUAUUUAUGAUCCAACCAUCAAAACUCAAAAAGGAAACUGAAGAGCUGAUUAAUGUGGCUUAUAAAAAUUCAGAACCUACAUUUGGAAAAAGAAAAUAGUAGCAGAAAAUUCCAACAGAUGCAAAAAAACUAGGUGACUUUUCUUCCCAGAUGUCUAAGAUUUUGUUUGGCAAAGUUACCCGGUAAGUGUGCUGCGCUCGCACACACACACACAGAGUUGCUCAUUGAACGCUACAAUUUAUUUCACGCAAUAACUAUGAGUCCAUGGCAAAUCUAAAUUUGCUAAUGGAGAAGAAAUAAAAUUUGUAGAAAUUUGGAAAAUAACAUAUACCACUAGUUUGGAUUAACUGCAAUUUCAACUGCCAAUUGAUAACGUGCAAAGAUUUCAAUUCUCGUGACAAAUACGUAAAACAAAAUAGAAUGUGAAGAGAAAAAGCGAUCUUACCGGAGAUCAGAGAAGAUACAUAAUCGGAGAUUCCGCCGGAGGGAUUGACGGCGAAACUGGAGAUUCCAUUUCCGACUACACGCUGUGACAAACACGUGAUUUGACAGAUCCUCAACGACUUCUCCGUAAACUAUUUUUAUUGGGCCUAUUUGUAACGGGCUCUUUUAGAUGGACUCCUUUUCGAGAUUGU
rnacentral:lncRNA from 1 species